GUCGUGACUGCGUGCCUUUUGAAGAAUGAGCCUGCGAGUUUGCGGUGUGUUGCGAGGUUAACCCGUGUGGGGUAGCCGUAGCGAAAGCGAGUCCGAAUAGGGCGGUUUAGUAGCGCGCUCAAGACCCGAAGCGGAGUGAUCUAGCCAUGGGCAGGUUGAAGCGGCUGUAAGAGGUCGUGGAGGACCGAACCCACCAGGGUUGAAAACCUGGGGGAUGACCUGUGGUUAGGGGUGAAAGGCCAAUCAAACUCCGUGAUAGCUGGUUCUCCCCGAAAUGCAUUUAGGUGCAGCGUCGUGUGUUUCUUGCCGGAGGUAGAGCACUGGAUAGGCGAUGGGCCCUACCGGGUUACUGACCUUAGCCAAACUCCGAAUGCCGGUAAGUGAGAGCGCGGCAGUGAGACUGUGGGGGAUAAGCUCCAUGGUCGAGAGGGAAACAGCCCAGAGCAUCGACUAAGGCCCCUAAGCGUACGCUAAGUGGGAAAGGAUGUGGAGUCGCAGAGACAACCAGGAGGUUGGCUUAGAAGCAGCCAUCCUUGAAAGAGUGCGUAAUAGCUCACUGGUCAAGUGAUUCCGCGCCGACAAUGUAGCGGGGCUCAAGCGUACCGCCGAAGUCGUGUCAUUGCAGCGUGAGGGCUAACGCCUGUUGUGAUGGGUAGGGGAGCGUCGUGUGCCGGGUGAAGCCGCGCCGGAAGGCAGUGGUGGACGGUUCACGAGUGAGAAUGCAGGCAUGAGUAGCGAUACACACGUGGGAAACGUGUGCGCCGAUUGACUAAGGGUUCCUGGGUCAAGCUGAUCUGCCCAGGGUAAGUCGGGACCUAAGGCGAGGCCGACAGGCGUAGUCGAUGGACAACCGGUUGAUAUUCCGGUACCCGCUUUGGAACGCCCAGUAUCGAAUCAGACGAUGCUAAGGCCGUGAAGCCG
rnacentral:rRNA from 1 species